rnacentral:tRNA from 2 species
GGGUUCUUAGCUCAGUUGGUAGAGCGGCGGUCUCCAAAACCGUAGGUCGUAGGUUCAAGUCCUUCAGGGCCCGCCA